AUACCCUAUUAUUUUUAUUGUAAAAAUUUAAGUCAGAGUAUUAAUAGAUAUGAUCUUUAAAUUUAAAGAAUUUGGCGGUAUUAUAGUCUAUUUAGAGGAAUCUGUUAUGUAAUCGAUAGUCCACGAAGAACCUUACUUGUAUUAAUUCUUGUAUACCGCUGUUUAAGAAUAUACUUUUAGGUAAAAUUUUCAAGAUAUAAUAAUAAUUAAAAUUUCAAGUCAAGGUGCAGUUAAUAUAUAAGUUGAAUAAUGGAUUACAAUAAAUUUUAUUUAUUAUGAAUAAUUAUUUUAAAUAAGUAGUUUAAAAGUGGAUUUAAUUGUAAUUUUAUAAAGAUUAUUAAAAUGAUUUUAGCUCUAUAAUAUGUACACAUCGCCC
rnacentral:rRNA from 1 species